GGAGGAAUACCCAAGUGGUCGAAGGGGCGGGCUUGGAAAGCUCGUAGGCUUGUAACAGGGCGCUAGGGUUCGAAUCCCUAUUCCUCCGCCA
rnacentral:tRNA from 1 species